AUUGAACGCUAGCGGCAUGCCUUACACAUGCAAGUCGAACGGCGUGGCCAACGGGUUCUUAAUUUCUCUGUUCGUGCCCUCUAUCUGGGGAUAACUACGCCUACGCGUCCCUAAUACCGCAUCCUUUUUGCCCCGCCUAUUUCGGAUUAGCUCGUUGGUGGGGUAACGGCUCAACAAGGCGACGAGCCCUAGCCGGUUUGAGAGGACGACCAGCCACACUGGGACUGAGACACGGGCCAGACUCCUACGGGAGGCAGCAGUGGGGAAUUUUGGACAAUGGGGGAAACCCUGAUCCAGCCAUCCCGCGUGUGCGAUGAAGGCCUUCGGGUUGUAAAGCACUGUUGGCAGGAAAGCGGUACCUGAAGAAGAAGCACCGGCUAACUACGUGCCAGCAGCCGCGGUAAUAA
rnacentral:rRNA from 1 species